GCCUGUGACAGCAACUCACAAAAUGCACUUGUUCUUCUUAGAAUCCUCACAUGCCACUCCUAUUGCCUUCAGGCUGGCAUUCGACAUCACAUCCCAGACAAGCCCAGUGGUGUCUGCAGAGAACUUGGUCAUCUUGGAAUUUCACAAUAUGGUGCUGGCCCACUAAAUGAUGAAUCAUACUAUUAGGUCUCAGUGAGCAGUAAGUGGUGGUACUCUAGAUGUCCCAGCAAGACACACAUGUCAGAAAAGGGAUCUAACUCUAUGAAGAUUCAGAAGCUUGCACUAUUACUAAUGGAGCCACUACCAUUGCUGAGUGUCCAACUUUCCAGCAGCUGAGACCAAU
rnacentral:lncRNA from 1 species